AUUGAACGCUGGCGGCAGGCUUAACACAUGCAAGUCGAGCGGAGAUGAGGUGCUUGCACCUUAUCUUAGCGGCGGACGGGUGAGUAAUGCUUAGGAAUCUGCCUAUUAGUGGGGGACAACAUUCCGAAAGGAAUGCUAAUACCGCAUACGUCCUACGGGAGAAAGCAGGGGAUCUUCGGACCUUGCGCUAAUAGAUGAGCCUAAGUCGGAUUAGCUAGUUGGUGGGGUAAAGGCCUACCAAGGCGACGAUCUGUAGCGGGUCUGAGAGGAUGAUCCGCCACACUGGGACUGAGACACGGCCCAGACUCCUACGGGAGGCAGCAGUGGGGAAUAUUGGACAAUGGGGGGAACCCUGAUCCAGCCAUGCCGCGUGUGUGAAGAAGGCCUUAUGGUUGUAAAGCACUUUAAGCGAGGAGGAGGCUACUGAGACUAAUACUCUUGGAUAGUGGACGUUACUCGCAGAAUAAGCACCGGCUAACUCU
rnacentral:rRNA from 1 species